rnacentral:rRNA from 1 species
UACAGAGGUCUCAAGCGUUUGUUCGGAUUCAUUGGGCGUAAAGGGUGCGUAGGCGGCGCGGUAAGUCGGGUGUGAAAUCUCGGAGCUUAACUGCGAGCCUGCUUCCGAUACGGGCAGACUAGAGGUAGGCAGGGGAGAGCGGAACUCCUGGUGUAGCGGUGGAAUGCGCAGAUAUCAGGAAGAACACCGGUGGCGAAGGCGGCUCUCUGGGCCUUACCUGACGCUGAGGAGCGAAAGCGUGGGUAGCGAACAGG